GAUGAACGCUGGCGGCGUGCCUAAUACAUGCAAGUCGAGCGAACAGACGAGGAGCUUGCUCCUCUGACGUUAGCGGCGGACGUGUGAGUAACACGUGGAUAACCUACCUAUAAGACUGGGAUAACUUCGGGAAACCGGAGCUAAUACCGGAUAAUAUAUUGAACCGCAUGGUUCAAUAGUGAAAGACGGUUUUGCUGUCUCUUAUCGAUUGAUCCGCGCCGCAUUAGCUAGUUGGUAAGGUAACGGCUUACCAAGGCAACGAUGCGUAGCCGACAUGAUAGGGUGAUCGGCCACACUGGAAAUGAGACACGGAACAGAGUACGACGGGAGGCAGCAGUAGGGAAUCUGACGCAAUGGGCGAAAGCCUGACGGAGCAAAGCCGCGUGAGAGAUGAAGGUCUUCGGAUCGUAAAACUCUGUUAUUAGGGAAGAACAAAUGUGUAAGUAAAUAUGCACGUCUUGACGGUAACUAAUCAGAAAGCCACGGCUAACUACGUG
rnacentral:rRNA from 1 species